GGUGGGAGCGUUCCCAAGCUCUGACUGCCAGCUCCGUGCUCCUGGGCUCGGCCCCAGCCGCAGGUUUGGGGGUCUGGGGGGUCCUGGGGCAGUUUUGGGGUGGAUCGGGGCAGUUUGGGGGGUCCUGGAGGGGUUUUGGGGGGUCUCAGGGGGGUUCUGGUGUUCCCGAGCUCCGACCACCCAGGAUCAACCCAGGAAUUCCUGAAAGCCGCGGACGCGUUCCCGGGCAGCGAGCCGCGCGUGCUGGGGCUGGCCAUGGUGCCCGGGCACCACAUCGUGUCCAUCGAGGUGGAGCCCCCCUACCCCUGAGGGACCCCCGGGGACCCCAGGCACACCGGAGAGACCCCCAAAACACUGGAUGGACCCAAAAACCACCUGAGAGACCCCAAAACCACCCCUGGAUGGACCCCAGAAAUAACUGAGAGACCCCAAAAACACCUGAUGGACC